rfam:Pteropus alecto contig99428, whole genome shotgun sequence.
GGAUGUGAGACAUCUGUCACCCCACUGAUCACCAGAGUUGAUUCAACUGAUCUGGCUGGCUAGGCAAGUGUCUUCUCCUUCCCUCACUGCUCCACGUGCAUCCCUCCUGAAGCUGCGCACUCGGUCUAAAAGGAGAACCUUCUCCCAUAGAGGAGAGGACCGUUCUUCAUCAAGUGUAUAUGAGUAGCUGCACUCCCCUGCUAGAACCUCCAAACAAGCUCUCAAGAUGUAGCCAAUUUGGUCAAAGUGCAUGAAGUAGCAUUAAUGUGAACUUUUGCCUGUCAAGCUGCCAAGU